AGAAUGCAAGAUUUCAGAUUCAAACAAUAGAGAAAGAGAUUGAGAUUUUUACAACAAAUUCUUUAAAGUUUUUCGCAAAGAGGGGAUCAUGGGCGUCCGCAAGCGUGACACUUACUCUCCCCUCCUCUCCCUGGUAGAGAGUCGGAUUAUCCGAUUAAUUAAAUAUCAAUUAAAUACUUAAUUUCAAACUUUUAAAAGUUUAUUUUCUUUAAUUUACAAAAAUUAUUUACUUCAAAAAUUUUUAAUUUACUUAAAAAAAACUUCUAAAUGAUUGAAUUCUUAAUAAAGCACAAAAAAUAUAACAAAAUUAAAAAAAAAAUUUGUUUACAAAAAACUUUUUCGACUUACACCUACCCUGUCGCGGUGAGAAAGCUUUAAUCAUGAGGUCUGUUCGCGUCACAUGCCCCAACAUGCUCCUAUUCACCCCAACGCACUCCAAUACGUUAAUUCCGAUGACGCCAACCUAUUAGAAUGCGUUGGAGUGAGUAGGAGCAUGUCGGAGCAUGGCGACGCGAACAAACCAAUGGUGUAAGAAUACCAGGUGAACCAUUCCCGUAGAUGCGCAGUAGUCUAAAGUAAUAAAACCAAUCAGCAAUGAUCCAGAAUGCAAGAAUCCAAUAUAGUUGCAUUCAGUACAUCGGAGUGUUCUUGAGCGUUCCUAUGCGAUAGCCUGAGUAUUUUUGUGCAAUAAUCAGAGUGUUCCAGUGCGACAGCCUGCGUUAUUGAGUAAAACCAAAACUACGAGCAACAUUAAAAACAUACUGUAAGAUCUAGUGUCCUGUGCGCGAUAGUCUUGUAAGCAAAGCCACAAAUCACAUAAAAAAUACUUAAGACCUGUAAAUGUAUGCAAAUAAUACGUAAUUAAUUCAACAUUUUAAUUUUGCAUUCUGGGCCUUUUUUUAUUGGCUCACUUAUACGUGACGUAUACUGACGUCAUGGCAUCAUGCGCAAUGGUUCACCUUGUAUCUUCACACCAUGGCUUUAAUACUACAAAGUAUAUAAGUAUAAAUCAUACAUUUGUUGAUCUAAAUAUUUUAUAGUAUGCCCUCUAAAAAAAUCCUGUGGAUGCCCUUAAAGCGGAUAUGUACAUAGUUUUUAAGCAUCAAUAUCACUAAAAAAAUAGAUUAUUAAUUUAAUAUAUUGUAAUAUUACAUUCUGGUACAAUUUAAGUAACUUGGUAACUAGUAACUUAGUAAUUUAGUAAUUGUUUUUACAGUUUAUAUAUAUAUUUUUUUUAUGUAAUUCAGCAAUUACUUUCAUAUAGUUCUUUGUUUUAUUUAUUCAUAAACAUAAUUUGCGUACAGCAGAAUGAUAUAUUUUCGAAAUAUAAUAUCUAUCAUAUAACA